GCUCCGCAUCAGACCGGCGAGGUGCCCGUGGACCUCCGUCGGGCUGCGCCCUGGGUGCGCGAGCGUGCUGUGUGUUUGCUGUUCCGGCUUGUAUGUGCGAGGGCUUAACGUUUGAUUUAACGCAUUUCCUUUAACGGCAGGCUGUAGUUGGGCUCUAGAUGGUAUUCCUACGGGGGCGCAAGAGCUGUGGAAUGGUUAAGCUGUUGCUGUGCCUCCAGGUGACUUGUUCAGUAACACUGUUUUUCCAGGUGCAGGUGGAUGAGUCGUGCAGGGCAACGGAGGAGAGCCCAGGGGAGCGCUGGAAGAAGGUGACAGCCCUGCGAUGCUGCGGUGCCUGCGAGGUGAUGCCGCCGUGCUCGUUGCUGCUUCCUGGUAAGGAAAGGCCUCCUCCGCUCCUGCUGCAGCGUGGUGGUGUGUCGGACACGAUUCCCUGUGUCGGGUGAGGCCUAGGGCUGCCGGCGAGGUGGAGGACGGCCUAGAGUCUGGAGCUGCAGAAGAGGCAGGGCGGAGAGGAGGGGAAAGAAGCAUCUGAACGGCUAAAUUGUGCCAGCAGCGCUGAGAGCGAGAGUCGCGAGACCGUGCUGAGGACGUGGUUGUCUGUCCUUCCCCCGGGGAUGCCGUUGACUGCGGCCGUCUCAGGCUUGCGUGGCUUCUCUCUGCCCGGCGUUGCCAUCCUCGCAGCGCGGGGGCGAAAAGGGACACACAGAGCCCUUCCCGGCUGUGGACAGGAGCUGCCUCGGCUGAAGCUGGAGACGCCAACGAAAGGUGGAGAACGGCCUAGAGUCUGGAGCUGCAGAAGAGGCAGGGCGGAGAGGAGGGGAAAGAAGCAUCUGAACGGCUAAAUUGUGCCAGCAGCGCUGAGAGCGAGAGUCGCGGUGGAGGAUGGCCUAGAGUCUGGAGCUGCAGAAGAGGCAGGGCGGAGAGGAGGGGAAAGAAGCAUCUGAACGGCUAAAUUGUGCCAGCAGCGCUGAGAGCGAGAGUCGCGAGACCGUGCUGAGGACGUGGUUGUCUGUCCUUCCCCCGGGGAUGCCGUUGACUGCAGCCGUCUCAGGCUUGCGUGGCUUCUCUCUGCCCGGUGUUGCCAUCCUUGCAGCGCGGGGGCGAAAAGGGACACACAGAGCCCUUCCCGGCUGUGGACAGGAGCUGCCUCGGCUGAAGCUGGAGACGCCAACGAAAGGUGGAGGACGGCCUAGAGUCUGGAGCUGCAGAAGAGGCAGGGCGGAGAGGAGGGGAAAGAAGCAUCUGAACGGCUAAAUUGUGCCAGCAGCGCUGAGAGCGAGAGUCGCGGUGAGUCCUGGGCCACUGGGGCCCCGUUGCCUCUCUUGUGCGUCCUGGGCCCUCCCUGUCUCUCCCCCCUGGCCCCCUCUCUUUCCUUACCUGCUGCAAAAUUUUUUUUUUUUUUUUUUUUGGCGCCCCCCCGCCCCUUCUUUCUCCAUCUCGCUCUGAGUGGCUCCCUGCCUCCCCGUCUUUUCAGGCCUCCCUCUCUCUGUCCUGUAGCCUGUGGCUACUUGUUCUUUCUCCGCCUCUCUCUGCCUGGCUCUGGCUCCGUUUUUAUUUUUUUAUUCCUCCUGCUCUGUUCUGUAGCCUGUCGGUAUUUUGUCUUUCUCUGGCCCUCUUGGUCUGACUCCGUGUGUUACCGAAAAACGCGGUAAAAUCGGAAACAACUCCUCAACGCCGAUUUAGUAUUAAAGAGCAGGCGUUCUUUGUUCACGGCGCCAGAUGCACGGGGGAUCGCUCCUCCUGGCGUGCGUACCUCACACACCUUUCCCGUAGAAUUUGUAGAUCAAAAUUUUACGUAUUCAUACAUAUUCAUUAUCGUCCUGUCUACUGAUCGGUACAAACUGGCUCGUUCCGUAUGUAAAUCACUGCGCAGGCUCGGUGGUGGUCCGUGAGUCGGUGGUCGCGAUCUCCCCCUGCCAGAAUUGCCUUUUACCUUC